UACGAAGGGGGCUAGCGUUGUUCGGAUUUACUGGGCGUAAAGGGCGCGUAGGCGGCAAUUCAAGUCAUCUGUGAAAUCUCCGAGCUUAACUCGGAACGGUCAGAUGAUACUGUCUUGCUAGAGUACAGAAGGGGCAAUCGGAAUUCUUGGUGUAGCGGUGAAAUGCGUAGAUAUCAAGAGGAACACCUGAGGUGAAGACGGGUUGCUGGGCUGAUACUGACGCUGAGGCGCGAAAGCUAGGGUAGCAAACGGG
rnacentral:rRNA from 1 species